AAGCACUCAUCUCAGGAUGGAAAGGAUGUUUUACCCGUUCUUCUGCCUGCACUAGGAGUCCACACAGCGGUGGUCCUUGUCUUCAUUGCUGCUCAUGACUUCUCUCCUUUUUGGACUUCUGGGACUAAACAGAGGUCCUGUUUCCAUGAGCCAGAGAAGCCUUGGUGUCAAAUAACGAAGGGAGCGGAGACGCAGAAGGAGCUGGCUCACAGGCCUUGGCCAAAACCUUACGCCAGUCGUACAAACACACACAGAGAAGUAUGCUUGUGCAGAAAGACAUACCUAUUCCCCAAAGGUAUGAAGCAAAAUACAGUCUCUAUUGCACUAAAAUUAAUCUGCUUCCCUUUGUCAGGUCACCUGUGUUGGUUGUCAGCAGAUGAGCUCCCUCCAGUCCUCCUGGUUUUUGGAUGUACUUCCAGAACUGCGUUUGAAUCUUCCUUCUGACUUGUGCUGAAGGCCAUCUCUUGUUUAUUCAUUGAGGAAGAUGGAGAAUCGGGGACAGCUGGAUAUGGUGCUAGCCAGACUAAAAGCUAGCACUUGACUGCUGUUGCUUAUAAACUGUGGUGCUGACCACCUGGACGGGCUGCCAGGAUAACGGAUGGCCAUGGAUUGUCCCUCAAGAAAGGUUCCUACUGAGAUUCUGUGGUAAAAGCUUAAUAGAUGACAAACGGAUGCACAGAGAAAUCUGUGUUAAAAUGCAGUGAUGCAACCCACGUACUGGGUGCUGACAAACUGACCACAUUCAUAAAACAAUUAUUAGAUUCCUGUAGAUGUACAUGUGAGGUGUUUCUAUUUUUGUUCACUAGCUUUUAAUUGUAUGCGUCAAACUGUCAGGCUGAAUAGACACGUGAAACCAUGAUGAUUCUCCAAACUGCAUGCACGUUUGGAGUCCCCAGGCUCCUCCAGAAAUCUGAGAGAAUGUGAUCUUUUCUACCUCUAGUUUCAGUAUUGACACAAUAAAUCUGUUCCCGUUUCUUCUUCCUGGCUCUAU
rnacentral:lncRNA from 1 species